rnacentral:misc_RNA from 1 species
AAAGUCGUAACAAGGUAACCGUAGGUGAACCUGCGGUUGGAUCAUUAAAAGUACCGGCUUUUGGGCCUUGGAAAGGUGCUAAAAAGACAGCCCACUUAGCAAGCAAUUGGUUUUGUGUGGCUCAAUCUUUUCAUAUGCGUUCCAAGGCCCCGCAAAGAUUCCCUUGCCUCUUUGUAGGUGUGGCUCUUUGCGGUAAGUCCGUGACCUCUAUGUGAACUGUUACCGUCUCUGGCAAGUGGGUAGCCUUUACAUGCUACUUGUCAACGCUUAGCUGCGUCGUGGACAACUUGCCAAACCCCCUUCUCAACCUUUUGCUGUAAUAUUCUUGUCUGACAUUAUACUGUAUCUAAUACAAAAACAACUUUUGGCAACGGAUCUCUUGGCUCUC